rnacentral:rRNA from 1 species
UACGUAGGUGGCAAGCGUUGUCCGGAUUUACUGGGCGUAAAGAGCGCGCAGGCGGUCGAUCAAGUCGAGUGUGAAAGCCCCCGGCUCAACUGGGGAGGGUCAUUCGAUACUGAUCGACUCGAAGGCAGGAGAGGGUAGUGGAAUUCCCGGUGUAGUGGUGAAAUGCGUAGAUAUCGGGAGGAACACCAGUGGCGAAGGCGACUACCUGGCCUGUACUUGACGCUGAGGCGCGAAAGCGAGGGGAGCAAACGGG